rnacentral:tRNA from 1 species
GGGUCCAUAGCUCAGUAGGUAGAGCAGCGGCCUUUUAAGCCGCGUGUCACAGGUUCGAAUCCUGUUGGACCCA